UUGGUGAAAGCAAGAUAGAAUAAACUUGAAAUUAUUCUGCAUCUGUUUUUGUUACACAUGAUAACCAAGGAGACAAAAACACUCCAGGCCCUACUUCUGCUACCAGUAGUUGAGUAUUGGUAUUUUGUAUCCUUGAUGGCCAUAUUUGAUUUUUUUAAGAGACAGAAAAUAAACAAAAACUCUAUGUGCUGUUUCCUGUGUUUGCAAGAACUGUGACCUUUGGCUCUUAUAAAUCUAUUCAAAGCCCAAGUCUGGAGAUUGGGUGUUUCAGGAAUGUUCAAAAUAUAGCUUGGGAUUUAUAGAGCUGCAAACUUUUCUUGGCUUUUCUUGGUCCAUUUCAUUUGAUAAAACUUAACUGGUAAACAAUGUAGCUGUACAUCCUCUACAAAACAUCCAUUAGGUUAUCUUGCUUUCUACCAAACUAGAGUUUGUUUGCACAAAGAAUUAAUGAGAGGGGUUACUGAAGGACUCCAGUCUCUACUUUUCUUCUACUUGGACAAAUUGUUUGCAAUACCAGCACCGACAAAUGCAAAUACAAGUAAUUGACAUCCUAACGUAUAAUUCGCUUUCAGGGAAUAUAGCUCCACUGUUAAAACAAACAAACAAACAAACAAACAAACAAACAAAAAAUGUGUUUUCUUAAAGGUCCUUUCUGGGGGCUUGAUGACAGAGCAGUUGAAAUUUCUAUUAGUGACCCAGAUCUCUGAAACUUGAAUACAGCAAUUUCCUUAAGUCAUGUUUCAGCCUUGCUAUUUAAAAUAGGGUCUCUUAACGCUGAAGAUCAUAACUUUCAUAAUGAAAGUAUGGCUGGUAUUCAAAUUAGUUGGAAUUAACAUAAUACAUUUCUGUGUCUAGAAACUUUUCAAGCCUCAGAAUCUAACACUUGAAAUAUAUUUCAAGAAUUUAUCAUUAAGCCAGAACGCUUGAAGUAGUGUUGCCUCCCAGCCUACUUGGAUAGAAAAUGGCCGUGCUGACCUUUCUCGCUGAAAUCGUUACUCCUCAAAAUAGAGACAGAAUAUCUCACUCUCACCUUUGGGGUGUCAUCCUAAACCCUCAUUUGGUAGGCAGCUACUCUGAGCCAUACCCAGUGUGGGAAGCUUUCUGAUGACCCUAUUUCACAAGAGCAGCAGUUUCUAAAGUGGACUUCUUGAGUUCCAGAGGAUAUACAAGAUAGUUCUUUUAUAUUAAUUUUUAGUUUAGAAAAUAAGAUAGCAACUAAGUCUACUAAUAUUUAAUAUCCAGAUUGAAACUGGUUACGUCGUUAUGGUUAUGGGCUGGAAGAGUUUAGGGAUUAUAUUAUUUCAGGGUUGUAUUACAUUGAGUAGAAAACUAGUUCCAAAAAUGUGUACUAAAAUGAGGAGACAACAUGAAAAUCCUACGUACCAUAAAGAGAGACUGGUUUUUCUCACAGAGAAGUCCUUUAAAAAGUUGGAGAAUUUGAAGAUGAGUGCAUGUUUUUCUCUUGCAAAAAAAACAACUGUCCCAAAUUUCUGAACUUUUCUAUGAUUAAAAGUGUCUGUUAAGCAGUAUUUAAAUACACACACACACCCGUAAUAUGUCCCAAUGUAAAAGAGGCAUUUUUAAUAAGAAGUGAGAAAAUGAUCAGUUUGGAAAAUAAUGCUUGCUAUCAAGACAGAAUUUUGAAAACAGAUGUUUGGCAAUGUUUUCAACAUUAUGCAACUUUGUUACUGAAAACAAUUUAAGUGUGUCAAUUAUAAAACACCCAUCUGCAUACUUUGGAAAUUAAAUAUUAUAUACUUUAUAAAAAUAUAUAAUAUUUGUUCAUUUGUGUUAAUGCUUUAUUUAGAAUAUUUGCAUCUCUGCUUAUAAAAGAGAUCGGCCUUUCUACCUGCCUUUGAAUUGAUGAAGUACUAAGGAAGAUGAAGUUAUCCAGUGGAAAGACCUUGGGCCCUGACACAAGUGUGGAAGACUUUGGAUCUUGAAGCUACAUGGGACUACCUCAUCAACUAUUCUGUGAGCAAGAAGAAAACUUUGUAUUAUGUUAAACCAUUAAAAUUGUGAAGGCCUAUUUAUUACAGCAGCUACCAUGAUCUCACUGAUACAAUUCCAUAUUUAUUUUUAAAUUCAUGGACAAUUUGUCUUUAAAUUGAUAUAUAUAAACACUUAGAGUGAUUAUUAAUAUGGUUGAAUUAAAACCCACUAUGUUUAAUGUUCUAAUUAUUAUAUUUGUUCUUUGUUUCAUUUUAUUUCCCUCUUCCGCGUUGUCCAGUUUCAAGUGAGCAUUUUAUGUGAUUCCAUUUUAUGUCCUCUCACACCAUAUCAAUUAUACUUCUUUAAAAAAUAUUUUUAGUAGUUGACUUGAAAUUUCAAACAUGUCCUUUUAACCAGUUUAAGUCCACCUUCAAAUAACUACAAUGCUUCAUGUGUAUAUAAUGCAGUUACCUUAUUAUAGAGUAUUCCCUAUUCCUCUCUCCAGUCUCUUAUUCACUCAUUCAUUUAUUUUACUUAUCCAUGUGCUAUAAUAACCCAAUAUAUUAUAACUGUUAUUGCUAUUAUAUUAAAAAUGGAAAAACAAUUAGAGACAUCAUUUUACCUUGAUUUAUUAUUUCUCCAAAACACUUCCUUUCUUCAUGUAGGUCUGAGUUUCUGACCUGUAUCAUUUUUCUUUCACCCUGAAAUGCUUCUUUUAACAUUUCUUUCAGGUCAUGUUUGCUGAUGAUAAAGUCGUUCAAACCUUUGUUUGAGGAAGUCUUCAUUUCUUCUUUAUUUUGAAGAAUAAUUUUACUGGCAAUAGAAUUAUAGAUCAGUGGGUUUUCCUUUCAAAACUUUAAAUAUUGCCUUCCAUUCUCUUUGCAUAGUUUCUAAUCAGAAGACCAUUGUAAUUCUUAUCUUGUUCAACUGUAAGUAAGGUAUAUUUUUUUUCUCUGUCUCCUUUCAAGAUUUGCUCUUUUUCUUUGAUUUUCUACAGCUUUGGUUAUUGUUGUUAUUGUUUAUGGGGGUGUAAUUUAUCUUCCUUGGUGUUUUCUGAGCUUCCUAGAUCUGUGGUUUAGUGUCUGAUUAAUGUUGGUAAGUUCUCAACUAUUAUAACUUCUGCUCUGUUUCCUCUUUCUUCUCCUUCUGGUUUUCCAGUCAUGUAUAUGUUACUUUUUUUUUUAUGCAGUUAUCUUACUUCUCAGAUAUUGUAGGGAUUUUUUUAUUCUUUUUUUUCCUCCUUUACCUUUAAUUCAGUAAUGACCUAUCUUCAUUCUCAUUAGCUCUAUCCUUAGGCAUGCCCGAUCUACUGAUGAGCACUUUAAGACACUUCUCAUUUCUAUCUUUGAUUUCUAGCAUUUCCUUUUGAUUCUUUCUUACAGGGUCCAUCUCUCUGCUUACAUUGCUCAUCUGUUUUUAUACAUUCUCUACUUUUUUUCUUUAGGGUCUUUAAUUUGUUAAUAAUAUGUAUUUUCAAUUCUGGUAAUUGUAACAUCUGUACCAUAUCCAAGUCUGAUUCUGUUUCUUGCCUUGUCUCUUCAGACUGUGUUUUCUUGCUUUUUGGCAUGCUUUGUAAUUUUUUUGGUUUGUUUGUUUCAAGUUUUUAUUUAAAUUCUAGUUAGUUAACAUAUAGUGUAAUAUUAGUUUCAGGAGUAGGAUUUAGUGAUUCAUCACUUACAUACAACACCCAGUGCUCAUCCCAACAAUUGCCCUCCUUAAUACCCAUCACCCACUUAGCUUUGUAAUUAUUUUAAAAGCCAGAUAUAUUAUGCUAAUAUUUGCCAUAAAUGUAGGUACCAAGUAUUCAAUUUCUUCCAGUACUCUUGUUUUUAUCUUCCCUGUUGACUUUGGGCUACUCUAAGUACUCUUCUUCAGAGAUAGUCUGCAUUUUACAGCUUUUUCCAUUCUAAUCCACUAUCAUGACAUUGGAGCCCUGUUGGUGUGGUGAUGAAGUGUGGGAAAAGGGAAGCAUUCUAUCAUCUUAUGAUUACAUCUCAGUUCUUAGUAAGUCUAAGUUCCUGGGCUGUGACCUUCACAAAUGCUUCUCCAUGGUAAAAAUUUUUCCCCCUUAGGUGAUCCCAAAAGGCUAGCUGGAGUGAGAAUGCCCUUCCUUCAGUUGGCGUGAGGCUCUGGUAAAGUCUUUUGUCCUCAAGCAUGUGUCUUUGUUAUGGAGAACUCUCUGGGAAUAUUUCACAAUGAUUAUUCUUUGCCUGUCUAUGCCAAAGCCACAAGAGCAUCUUUCUUGGCUCUUCCCUGUGAGAAUCUGGUGGGAUUCCUGGAGUUUAAAUCUCAUGGGAGACCCAUAAAACUGAAACCUCCACAAGUGACUCAGUCUCCUGCUAGUCCAUACUCAACCUGCAGCAUUUCCUCAAAAUUACCAUUCAAGUAUCCAUGCCAGAUUAUGGCACCAGCAGCUGCUUCCCUGGUGCUUCCAUUUACUAAUUACAUGUCCUAGACGAAGUCUCUGAACUCUCUGAGCCUCAGUGGAGGAGAUGUCUCCAUGUCCUCAUCUCUGAAAAGAGUUUUAACCUUAUCUCCCACGUGGGUGGUGAUGAGACUUAUAUGAGAAGAGCAAGAGAAUUGUUUUGGUCAUUCCAUCAGCUUCAGAAGCCCAAGUAAGUGUGCUGGUUAAAAUGUUCAGUGCACACAUCUGUCAGCAUGUUCCACAUGAGAAACAAAAGACUACAGCUGCAAUCAUAGCCUUAGGAGCCAGCAAGCAGAACGAGUAGCUAGAACAACGCAAAGUCAGAAAACCAGCAAGUGAACUGCAUAAACGCUAAGGAGAGAAAGCCCUACAGCAGACUACUCCUCAGCUGACAAGGGACAGAGCAAAGUAAAAUUAGGGGAAUAGACUGGAAAAUGAAGACAUAUCACUGCUCCAAACUGGUGCAAAUCACAUUCCUUGUUGCUCCUCUAUAACUUGUAUGCAUUGCUUUAAUUUUGGUUUGGUAAAUGGAAAAUAUAAUUAUCCGGUUCGGUGGAAUUUAUCAAAACCUUCAAGACUUAGUGUGGUGAUCAUUUUGCAGUGUAUACUAAUAUCAAAUUAUUAUGGCAUAUGCCGGAAACUAAUAUAAUGUUAUAUGUCAAUUAUACCUCAAUGAAAAAGAGAAUUUUUAAAUUUCUAGUUACUGUGUAGUACUUAAUGCAUUGUUAAAUAUUUAGUAAAACUAAAAAUACUUAUUUGACCAGCAUUAUAUUUACUCUUGAAAAUAAGGAUAAGGAAAAAGAUCAACUGUUAAAAUAGGUGUAGCAAAUUAUUUUAAGUUGAAAGAUAUCCUUGCAUGGAGGGGAAAAAUUUUGUGAAAGUAAUUGUAAAUAUUUGUGGGGACUUUUCAUAUAAAAAUCAUGGGUUCAGCUCAUGUGUCCCUUUAAUACUCCAUACUACCUCAUGAUGGACUUUUGUUUGGCAAACUUUUGUGUUUUAACCAUAAUCAGCUAUGUGAGUCGAAUUAGCAAUGUCCAAAAAUCAUCUGCUAUUUAAUUCUUAACUAUUUGUAGAGACUCCAAAUACUAUCCAUGCAUAUGUGCAAGAUACAAAUUUUUGCCUUUCAGGAGUAUAUUAUCAUUUAUAAACUCAAAUAAGUGUUCAUAAUUAUGAUUAUGCAAAAAAUAUAUAAUAAUGCCUCUAAUAAAAGCCUCUUUUGAGAAAUAAACAUUGGUGAUUGUAUCAAGUUGCAUACACAUGUGUCUGUUAUGUGGCAUACAUGAGAACAUUAAAUGCCAUGAAGCAAAACAGACUCUAAGUAAUCAACUUUAAAAUAUAUUUCAUCCUGGAUGCAUGGAAUUUGAAGACUACAGUUGACCCAUGAAAGUCUAGUUAAGAUGUCACCUCUUCCAUAAACAUCCCAAUUCAUCCCCUGUAAGUGAAUUUUUUCCUCCGCUAAGAGCCCUCAAAAUUUUAUUUUCAUCUCCACUCUUCAUUUCUAACUAUUGUGUUAUGCAUUGCAGGAUUUACUUUUGCAUAAUUUGUUUUUCAGCAAUACCGUAAAUUCCUUGAAGGAAAAGAAUGUGACUGGAAAAUACUUGUCAACCAUACACACACAUAUACACUUUGCUUACCAUGUUAUAAUCACUUAAUAAACGUUCAUUGGGU